GAUGAACGCUAGCUACAGGCUUAACACAUGCAAGUCGAGCGCGACUGAUUUGAUGCUUGCAUCAUUGAAAGUUGAGCGGCGGACGGGUGAGUAACGCGUGGGUGACCUGCCCUAUACACAUGGAUAACAUACUGAAAAGUUUACCAAUGCAUGAUAAUGUAUAUUUACGGCAUCGUAGGUAUACCAAAGUGUUAGCGGUAUAGGAUGGACCCGCGUCUGAUUAGCUAGUUGGUGAGAUAACUGCCCACAAGGCGACGAUCAGUAGCCGACCUGAGAGGGUGAUCGGCCACAUUGGAACUGAGACACGGUCCAA
rnacentral:rRNA from 1 species